GUGUGUGUGUAUGUGAGGGUGUGUGUGUAUGUGUGAGGGUAUGUGUAUGUAUGUAUGUAUGUAUGUGUGGUGUGUGUAUGUGUGGUAUGUGUGUGUAUGUGAGGGUGUGUGUGUUAUAUGUGUGUGUGAGGGUGUGUGUAUGUAUGUGUGUGUGGGUAUGUGUAUGUGUGUGCAUGUGUGUGUGUAUAUAUGAGGGUGUGUGUAUGUGUGUGGUGUUUGUGUGUAUGUAUGUGUGUAUAUAUAUGAGGGUGUAUGUAUGUGUGUGUGAGGGUGUAUGUGUGUGGUGUGCGUGUGUGGUCAUUUCAGUUGAGAAUAAAUGUAAUCUACAAACAGCAUCCAUUAGUCUUCUUUCCCUCCCAGACUUCCUUUGCUUCCUCCCAUCACAAAGCCAGAUCUGGACUCACACUCCUGAUCCCUCUUGCUC
rnacentral:lncRNA from 1 species